UUUCUCCAGCGAGGGCUGCCGAGGUCAAAACGAAAUCACUGCGGCCUGAAUAGAGAGACAGCAAGGUCGCUUCUG
rnacentral:sRNA from 1 species